UUUUUUUUUAUAGGUUAGUGACUCUGAGUUGCCGCCCGGACGUUUGAGGUUGUGCCCGGCUGUAGGCUCUUACCACUUUGGUUUUCGUAUUUUCAAAACAAAUAUGAAUGCGAAUACGGAUGUUACCUGAUGCGGAUGAGGAUCUGAUGUUACUCCAAUACAUAUCGGAUGUUUAGUCAGAUUCGAAAUGGGUACGUAUAACAUCAGCAUAUAUUAGUUAAAGAAAAUAAAUAGCUACUCCCUCCGUUCGUAAAUAUAAGUCUUUGUAGAGAUUUCACUAUAAACCACAUACGGAUGUAUAUAGAUGCAUUUUGAGUGUAGGUAGUGAAAUAUCUACAAAGACUUAUAUUUAAGAACCGAGGGAAUACAAGAUAGUACAAAAUAAUCAACAUGCAACAUAUAAUAAGUUAAUAAUAGACAGAUUUAUGAAUAAACACUACUGUCAUGCAUAUUAAUUCCUAAGUUUUAUCAUACAAAAAGUAACUUUUGACAAUUUAUUAGGCUUUUAUGUUGGAUAAUUGACAUGUUAGGGUUAGAAUUCCCUAAUUCAGAUACAGAUAUAUCCACUUACACAUUAAUAUUUAAGUCAAAUUCUCUUAUCAUAUUUGUAUUUGUAAAACAAACACAGAUAUCUUGUACUUCCAUUUCUAUUCCAGUUUCAGUUUCAGAUGUUUCAGAUAUGAAGGCAUUCAAUGCAAAGAAAAAAAGAUACAAAUAGACAUUUCCUCAAAUACAAAUAUCAGAUAUUUUGGAUUAUGCCCUACCAUUUUCCACCCCUACAUAUCAGUGUUGAUCAAAGUAUGCCGUAAGAUCACAUUCAUGGAACCAAGUAGUAUAACCAUUGGUAUCACCGUACCAGCAUCAAUGCAAUUUUACAGUGCUGAUAAGCUCAAGAUUACCUCUAGUGAUCAAAUCACAGAUCCAUGGACAAAACAAUAUCAGUUAUGAUGGGGUACAUAGGGCUGGGAAUGGAACAUUUAAAGACACGAUUUGAGAAUGAGGGCAACCAAAAGAGGCAUGUAAUUUGAUGCAAAAUUCCACCAACAUAUCAGACGAAACUCGCGUACAUGACAAAACCGGUCCACUGGCACAAAUAAGGUAGGUCAGAGUUCUUGAAAGGGGAGGUCUCUAAUGGCGCCGCUUAACUUAUAACCCUUCACAACAGUAAACACGCAUCAAAAUCAC
rnacentral:lncRNA from 1 species